UACGAAGGGAGCUAGCGUUGUUCGGAAUCACUGGGCGUAAAGCGCACGUAGGCGGACUUGUCAGUCAGGGGUGAAAUCCCGGGGCUCAACCUCGGAACUGCCUCUGAUACAGCAAGUCUUGAGUCCGGAAGAGGUGGGUGGAAUUCCUAGUGUAGAGGUGAAAUUCGUAGAUAUUAGGAAGAACACCGGUGGCGAAGGCGGCCCACUGGUCCGGUACUGACGCUGAGGUACGAAAGCGUGGGGAGCAAACAGG
rnacentral:rRNA from 1 species